GGAUAAUGGGAAAAAACAGUUUCUUCUUGCCUGAGGCUUGAACAGGGAGCUAGCUGGUUGAGGUAGAAGAGAAACUGUGGAAAACUUAUAGGAGAGGGCAGGAAUAUGGCAGAAAGGACCUGUGACGCAGGUGGGUGGUGGAAAAGAGAGGGGGCAACCGGAAGACUUGUAGGACAAGGGGGUGCUCACCCAAACGGCUUCUUUGAUGAGCCGGGCCAGGCGGCCCAGCAAGCGAGGCAGGUGGCCCAGCUCCAGCUCCCUCGCAGAAUGCUGCACACACAGUGCCAGCAGAGUGGCUGGCCCGAGCGGGGGCAGGUCCCCUGCUCCCGAGGCUGCAGCUCGCACGAUCUCGCCCAACAGCGCCUCUUCCUCUCGUGGUCUGAACCGCAGCACCGGCUCGCGGCCAUCCAGUUCCUUUAGUGGACUCUUCUGUACCAUGCAGUCCCAAGUGACACUCGAAUAUGUAAUACACAGAAACAUGGCCGAUGGUGCAGCUAUGCCGUGCCAGCUACUCGGGAGGCUGAUGCAGCAGGAUCUGCCCCGAUCUCCUGUAUCUACAUAAAACGGCUGCAAGAACGAUUCCGAAGUCCACUGCCUGUCUAGAGCCCAGCAAUGAGGGUUGGGAGCUUUGCUCCCGGAUAAAGCACCUGCUUAGCUCAUGUGAGGGCCUGGGUUCAAUCCUCAAAACUACAAACAAAAAAAUGCACUCAGGUUUCAGUGCCUCCUGGCCUCCAUAAACAAGCGGUCAGGUGGUUCCCACGUGAACCUUUAUAGAUGGAUUAGUCUAUUUCUCCCAUCAAGAAAGCCGCCAUUUCCAGAACAAGGAUCUAGGUACCAAACAAAGAUUUCCCUGACCUAGGACACAGACUUUCCUUCAAGAAACGGAUGUUAGCUAGGGAUGUCCUUCUGACAAUGGGCUGGCCUCUGACCAAGACCAUGUUUUCUUCCAACUCUGAAUGGAAGGAAACAUUCACUGUAACCCGCCCCCCUCCCCCUGCCC
rnacentral:lncRNA from 1 species